UUGCUUCAGCAGCACAUAUACUAAAAUUGGAACGAUACAGAGAAGAUUAACAUGGCCCCUGCUCAAGGAUGACAGGCAAACUCAUGAAGCGUUCCAUAUUUUU
rnacentral:snRNA from 1 species